rnacentral:rRNA from 1 species
AUUGAACGCUGGCGGCAUGCCUUACACAUGCAAGUCGAACGGUAGAGGGGGGCAACCCCUUCGAGAGUGGCGAACGGGUGAGUAAUGCAUCGGAACGUGCCCAGUCGUGGGGGAUAGCCCGGGGAAACCCGGAUUAAUACCGCAUACGACCUGAGGGUGAAAGCGGGGGACUCGCAAGGGCCUCGCGCGAUUGGAGCGGCCGAUGUCGGAUUAGGAAGUUGGUGGGGUAAAGGCCUACCAAGCCUGCGAUCCGUAGCUGGUCUGAGAGGACGACCAGUCACACUGGGACUGAGACACGGCCCAGACUCCUACGGGAGGCAGCAGUGGGGAAUUUUGGACAAUGGGGGCAACCCUGAUCCAGCCAUGCCGCGUGCGGGAAGAAGGCCUUCGGGUUGUAAACCGCUUUUGUCAGGGAAGAAAUGUCCUGGGCUAAUACCCUGGGGGGAUGACGGUACCUGAAGAAUAAGCACCGGCUAACUACGUGCCAGCCGCCGCGUAA